rnacentral:rRNA from 1 species
GACGAACGCUGGCGGCGUGCUUAACACAUGCAAGUCGAACGGAAAGGCCCUUCUUUUGUGGGGUGCUCGAGUGGCGAACGGGUGAGUAACACGUGAGUAACCUGCCCUUGACUUUGGGAUAACUUCAGGAAACUGGGGCUAAUACCGGAUAGGAGCUCCUGCUGCAUGGUGGGGGUUGGAAAGUUUCGGCGGUUGGGGAUGGACUCGCGGCUUAUCAGCUUGGUGGUGGGGUAGUGGCUUACCAAGGCUUUGACGGGUAGCCGGCCUGAGAGGGUGACCGGCCACAUUGGGACUGAGAUACGGCCCAGACUCCUACGGGAGGCAGCAGUGGGGAAUAUUGCACAAUGGGCGGAAGCCUGAUGCAGCAACGCCGCGUGCGGGAUGACGGCCUUCGGGUUGUAAACCGCUUUCGCCUGUGACGAAGCGUGAGUGACGGUAAUGGGUAAAGAAGCACCGGCUAACUACGUG